rnacentral:misc_RNA from 1 species
CCUCUUCCUCGCCGGGAAGUUUACUUUUUAGCUUGCGGUCAACAUAAACCAAUGGAAACUCCGGCAAGACAGGAACGUUCAAGUCAAAGUCAAGUUGACUAAUCAGGCUCGAAUUCAGAACUUCCAAUCCUUUAUUUUCAUUGUCACCGCUAUUUCCGCCGCCACUGUUACUUCCACCAUCAUAGUGGCGCCGUUUGUGUCCUCCCAAAGCCUGUCCGGAGGGAAAAGUUCUAUGGCAGAUGGAACAUUCGUGAGUCCUGCCACUUAAACUAACCGACGAGGGUGUUUUGGAAGUAGUAGUUACCAUAGGAGGGGUAGAUUGGUCGUCAACUACUCCCAUGAGUUUCCGAUGGCUAGCCUUGUGUCCACCUAGAGCCUGAUAAGUUGGGAAGGCUUUGUUGCAAACUUUGCACUUAUAGCUGAGUUUUAACGAUGGCGGGGGAGGUGGUGUGUCUUGGUGGUCGUGGGUGCCAUUGGCAAGCAUGAGAAGGCAGAGAGCUAAGUAUUC